rnacentral:rRNA from 1 species
UACGGAGGGGGCUAGCGUUGUUCGGAAUUACUGGGCGUAAAGCGCACGUAGGCGGCUUUGUAAGUUAGAGGUGAAAGCCCAGGGCUUAACCCUGGAAUUGCCUUUAAGACUGCAUCGCUAGAAUCGUGGAGAGGUAAGUGGAAUUCCGAGUGUAGAGGUGAAAUUCGUAGAUAUUCGGAAGAACACCAGUGGCGAAGGCGGCUCACUGGACAAGUACUGGACACUCAACUACGAAAGCGAUGGGGAGCAACAGG